GUUUGCUUUUAAAUAUCUUCUGUAAGAACAGACAGUCAGCACAUAGUGUGAAACAUAACCACACGGGCCGGGCUCCCGGCAGCGGCCUCCGGCCCCCUCAGCUGCGGCACACGGGGGCGGCCGCAGCGGCCUCCGCCUCCUGCACCCGCCGGCUCCGGGCUCCCCCCGCCGCCGCCUCCCACCGCCCCGCUGCUGCCCCCUCCGCCGCCGCUGCAGCAGCGGCCAUCUUG
rnacentral:lncRNA from 1 species